UACGAAGGAUUCGAGCGUUAUCCGGAUUUAUUGGGUUUAAAGGGUGCGUAGGUGGAUUAAUAAGUCAGUGGUGAAAGCCCGGAGCUCAACUCCGGAACUGCCAUUGAUACUGUUAGUCUUGAGUACAGUUGAGGUGGGCGGAAUGUGUCAUGUAGCGGUGAAAUGCUUAGAUAUGUCAUAGAACACCGAUUGCGAAGGCAGCUCACAAAGCCACUAUUGACGCUGAGGCACGAAAGCGUGGGGAUCAAACAGG
rnacentral:rRNA from 1 species